UACGGGGGGGGCAAGCGUUGUUCGGAAUUACUGGGCGUAAAGGGCGCGUAGGCGGUCAGACCAAGUCGAGUGUGAAAUUCCAGGGCUUAACUCUGGCACGCUCGCUCGAUACUGGUCGGCUAGAGUGUGGAAGAGGAUGCUGGAAUUCCCGGUGUAGCGGUGAAAUGCGUAGAUAUCGGGAGGAACGACCAGUCGGCGGAAGGCGGGAGCAU
rnacentral:rRNA from 1 species